AAGUUUAAUUUUGCCAACAGCCAGAGGCAAUGACAGCAGCUCUGGAAAUCUGGCUGCUGGUACUCCGGGCUGGGAUACGCAGCCCCGAAAUAAUUGCCUCUUUGAGGGUUUUAUUGGGAUGUGCACGUGCUUCCUGUUUCUUGUGGGGACCACUCCCUCCCAGGGCCACGUCUUAAAGUGAGGAAUGAACUAGGCCUGUGGGCGGCUCCAAGGAAAGCAGGAGGCGAGGUCAGCCUCAGGGCUACGCUUUGUCCAUCCCCUUCCGCCAAAGACACGUUCGGAGAACACCUGCCAUCCGGUCAAGUGCACCACAGCCUCGCCACCUUGUGGUCGGACAGUGCCCCCCCCCAAGGUCUGCCUCAAAUCCCCCCCGUACUGCCUCGGAAGCCCCUCGAGGUGCUGCUGAGGGUGGGUGACCCUGAGACGUGGUCUGAGCUCUGAAGACUGCCUUGCUGAAAGAGACCCACCCUUUGCUGCUGUCCCCAGUGCAGGACGCCUGCUUCUCCCUGCUCCGAGUAGGGAAACAGAAUGUGAAUGACGAUGAGGCCAGAUCUUCCCGGGCGGGGAACCAGCCAGAUGGAUCCUAACGCCACAUCCUGGCUCAGCCCGCCAGGGUGCACCGACAUGGAGGCCUCCUCUGCGGCUGUGGCAGGUGUGAGGGGGGCGAACAGGCAGAGUGCAGGGAAGGACUGUCACCAAGGAGGAGGUUUCAUUUAUCUCCUUCAAAUCCCAAGGUCAUGGAGACCAUCUCCCCGACUCUAGCCCGUCGGUGCCUCCCAGCCUCCCCCGGGGAUCCCAUCCCACACCCCUGACGAGGGCCCUUGACUGGGUCAGUGGGUAUGGGGAGAGGGGCUCCACCUCCUGGCAAUGCUCUCAGUUCGCACCUUGGCUGGCAUCCUCUGGAGGUACAGGUCUGUUGAUUAUAUUCUCUCUAAAAUGAUCUCGCUGCAGGAGUUGCCGUCGUGGCUUGGCAGUUAACGAAGGUGACUAGCAUCCAUGAGGACACAGGUUCGAGCCCUGGCCUCGCUCAGUGGUUUAAGGAUCUGGCGUUCCUGUGAGUGUAGGUUGCAGAUGUGGCUUGGAUCCCACAUUGCUGUGGCUGUGGCGUAGGCCAGCAGCUCCAGCUCCAGCUCCAGCUCCAAUUCAACCCCUAGCCUGGGUCCUAGAAGCCGUCACGAGUACAGCCCUAAAAAGACCAAAAAAAUAAAAUGAAAUAAAAUACUCGCACUUCAUCUAGGUUAUAAUAUGAUCUUGAGUGGCACAGCAGUGGCUGUCAGGGUGGAACGCAAAGACCUCCAGGCCUGGGGAACACCUGCUGAGGCUGCUUGCAGCUCCCGCCCUCCAGGACCCACGGAAGGGGGUCCCAUUUUAUUCCUUCUCCGUCUUGACUCCUGGAAAACUCCUACUCACUCUUCAAAAUCCCAAUCAAAGAUUUCACCUUUUAGGGAGUUCUCCUGCGGCACAGCAGGUUAAGGAUCUAGUGGCGUCACUGGAGCAGCUUGGGUCGCUAUUGCGGCAUGGGUUCGAUCCCUGGCCCAGGAACUUCCAGAUGGCAAGGGCACAGUCAGAAAAAAAGAUCGCCUUUUCUCUGAAGCUCCCGUGAUUCCAUCUCAAGCAGAGCUCAUCGCUCUCCUAUAAAGUGGAGGUCAUGGAGCCUCUGCAGGGUUAGGGAGGAAUCGAUGCCGUGCCUGGUGCAUCGUCAGGGCUCAGAUGAUGGUUCUUGGGGUGGCGAUGGCAGUGAUGACACUUUUUCAGUGGUUGUUUCCAUAUCUACCACCCCCUCAGAGACUGUGGGCUCCUUAAGGACAGAGCCACCGUUGAGUCAUUGCUGUAUCCAUAGCACCCUGGCUGGCUCCGAGUGAGCACCCAGUAAAGGCUAAUAAAUGCCAGCAGUCUCAUUAAGAUACUUAAAAUAAUACUAACGGCCUUUAGUGAGUGUUUGCCACGUGCCAGGCACUGUGCCAGGCAAUUCUCCGGGAAUGUCUCACUCAAUCUUCACAACAAUCCAGAAGGUAAGUGUUGGCAUCCCCAGUGCCCAAGGGAGCAAAGUGAAGCUUAUCCAGGUUAGACAAUAUCGCCUAGAGCCACCGUGCGCCACAAGAGCCCAGAGGUGAGUGGGUGGAAGCUCUCGGUCCUGUGGUCCUGCCAGCACCCUGGCGUGGGCCGGGGGCUGCCUGCUCAUUCCACCUCAGGGCUGGGCUUGCCCGGAUUUUCACCAGCUAUGCCCUCGCCCAGCCCAGCUUCUUCGGGUCCAAUUGGUGCCAGGGAGGGAAAGGGAGAGAUUAAUUUCCAUUUCUCCCCUCGAUUCAGAGUCUGGGCAGCUCUUUUGACGGCUUCACAGGAAUAUUCUUUAAUUCUGAGUUUCUUUUUCUCAUUACGGCUCGAAAAUUAAAAUCGCUCUGCCUUGGGCAAGCGAAGGCUGAGCGAGGAAUGGCUGCUGCGGCACAUUUCUUACUUAAGUCAAUCUGGAAACACUGCUUCCUCGCGGGGCAGGCGAGCGAGAGAAGAGGACAGGCAGGGUGCGGCCCCGUCCUUCCCACGGCGUCGGCAUUAAUCCUGCCGUUAUUCCUGCAGCCCUCACUGACCUGGCCUCGUCGCAAACGCAAUGACACCCUGGCUUGGAAAGCUCUUCCUCGUGCCUUAUUUCCAGCGACUCCUCACCACAGCCCUGCAAGGAAGGAAAGCAGGGGCUCUUGCCCUUGGUUUUAUGAAUGGGGGAACGGAGGGUCCAGGCAUGCUGCAGAUGCAACUCAAGCCCCUGACGGCCUCGGGAAGGGGACAACAGGGUGCAGGUAGGGGAAGCUGUGACGUCCAGCUCGAGGCCCCCUUGCUUCUGAAAGGGCAGAGCUGCCUUUUCCCAUCACCCCCAGAACACUGAAGAAGAGAGCCACUCCAGUGCCAUGCAACCUAGAGCAACUCCUGUCCCCUCUUCGACCUUCAGCUUCCUCAUGUUUAAGAGAGAGGUGGCCCUGGAUCACGCCUGGGGCCACCAUGCAGCUACCCAGGCGCUGGGGAGAGGAGGACCGCUGUUCUCUGCUACUUUGCUCCAUCUCAGUCCUUGGUGGGGGGUGCCUGCUCCCUGGAGGCGAACCCCCAGCUGUCUCUGCCUCUCUCUCUUCUCUCUGCAGAUCUGUCUGUGAUUUCCCCGCAGACUCUCAGAGGGCUACGUGGGCCACAUGGAUCUCCCUGUAGAGCUACGGAACAUCCCCCUCUGAGAGGGGCCUGGAGCAAAUCUGGUGGGAGGUGGCUCAGGGAUUACCUCAAAAAGCACACUGGUUUUCGGUUGGUUUUUGGCCGAACUCACAGCAUGUGGAAGUUCCUGGGCCAGGGAUCGAACCCAUGCCACAGCUGUGACCUGAGCUGCUGCAGUGACAACUCUGGAUCCAUAAACCCACGAUGCCACAAGGAAACUCCAGCAGCACUUUUACUGAGCAUAUGGGGACGUAUCUGGGGCCUUCCAAGGUCUGGAACAGGUUCCGUUCACUGGGGGACAGAAGGUCUAGGAAUGCAGGCUGGGCUGCAUCUCAGGGGCAUUGCAAGUUGUGACUGCCCCAUUGGCAAAUGACAACACCAGCCUUCUAGGGCACAGGCUCUGGUGGGAGAAGUUGUUUGUUUCUUUCUUUCUUCCUUCCUUCCUUUCUUUCUUUCUUUUUUUCCCUCAUUUUAGGGCCACACCCACAGCAUGUGGAAGUUCCUAGGCUAGGGGUCGAAUCCAAGCUGCAGUUGUGACCUACACCACAGCCACAGCAAUACCGGAUCCUUAACCCACUGAGUGAGGCCAGGGAUUGAACCCACAACCUCAUGGUUCCUAGUCGGGUCCGUUAACCACUGAGCCACGAAAGGAACUCCAGAAAAGCAGUUUCUGUUCCACCUUUGCCCUAUCCCAAGUUCCCCAAGGAAGGACCUGGUCGUUUCCACAUUCUUCUGUUCCCUUUCGUGGAGCUCCAGAGAACCAGGGCCCAAAGUGCCAUGUGGCCCUAAACCUCUCCAACAACCUCAUGCUUUUGUUUCUGGUGUGAAAUAACAGCCACUCUCACCCCCCUCUUCUCCUCCCUGGGGUGUGGGAGUUUAGUGCUGGACUGCUCUCCUCACCACCUCAACCCCCGGGCCACAGAGGGAACCCCAGUCCUAUCCUGAGCCAGCAAUAGGCACAGUCUGGGCCACCAGGGACUUCCAGAGGCUGGUGCAGGAGGGGGAGCUAAGGGAGGGAAGCAACUCAAACCUUUAGGGGUUCGUUUGUUUGUUUUGCUCUUUAGGGCCGCACCCAAGGCAUAUGGAGGUUCCCAGGCUAGGGCUCAAAUCAGAGCUGUAGCCACUGGCCUACACCGCAGCCACAGCAACACCAGAUCCGAGCUGUGUCUGCCAUCUACACCACGGCUCAUGGCAACACCGGAUCCUUAACCCACUGACCGAGGCCAGGGAUUGAACCCGAAACCUCACGGACACCAUGUCAGGUUCUUAACCUGCUGAGCCACAAGAGGAACUCCCCUUUGGAUUAUUGAGACAGGGAACAUCGUACAGAUCUGGGAUCAAAUUUUAGCUGUACCUCAACCUGUGAAAUCUUAGACAACCUCUGAAAACCUCUGAAAACCUCAGUUUCCUCCUUCACGUCUCACAGUGGUGAUUAUCCCACAUUGUUGCAGGAUUGAAUGAAAUAAUGUACACAAGACACUUCCCAAGGCCUCCAGCAUGUUUUAGGCAUUUGGUAGAUUGUUGCUGUUGCUAUUAUUAAGUACUAGUAUUAAUAUUAUUUUUAUUGUUGUUUUUGAAGCGUUAGGAAGUGGGAUUGGAGACGGACUUUUUUUUUAGGGCCGCGCCCACGGCAUGUGAAGGUUCCCAUGCUAGGGGUCCAAUCGGAGCUGUAGCCGCUGGCCACCACAGCCCCAGCAACGCCAGAUUCAAGCCGCCUCUGCCACCUACACCACAGCUCACGGCCACGCCGGAUCCUUAACACACUAAGUGAGGCCAGGGAUCGAACCCGCAUCCUCAUGGAUCCUAGUCGGGUUCAACUGCUGAGCCAGGAAGGGAACUCCGGAGACAGACUUUCUUUCUUGCAGACUCUCGGCCACAGUGAGUUAGGGGCAGGAAAUGCCUAGACAGGGCGUCUCCACCACAAGUUCUCUGUGGUCUUGUGAAGGCCCAGCCUUACCUCUCCAGCGCUAUCACAUUGGCCCAGACGUGAUACUAAAAGGCUAUUCAGCAUCCUGGCAUCAGCUAACUUUACACAGAGAACAAACCGCACCUUGGGAAACUAGAGUCACAAAAGACUGGGCAGUCAAAUCCCUCUCAAUGUCAGAUAAAGGGGCCCCUGUUCUGAUUCCCUCAGUGGCGAGGGAAGAUGCUCGGCUGCCACUGAGCGCAAAGGCCUGGCCAGAGGGAACAAUGGCUGGGGAGGUGCCAGGCCUUGGAAAAGAACUGAGGUCCCAAGAGAGAAACCAGAGCUACCCCAGUGGGCGCUGCCUCCCCUUUCUGCCUCUCUUUGCUCCUCCUCACUGUCCGGUUUUUAGCCCCACCCAACCCCAUCUCUGACCAGAAGGAUGGGGCCUUUCUGGGUCUCAGAAGAUGAGACCUCAGAAGGCUCCCCCUGUGUGUGUGUGUGGGGGGUAGUUCAGAGGCUUCCCCCCACAUCACUAGCUUAGGGAUCCUAAUGUGACUGCAGGGCCAGGAACGUGGGGUAGCCGUCCCAAGAUCCUGAGAAGGGGGAGCCCCCAGCAGGUGGCCUCACUCCACCUCUUCCCCCGUCCAGUUCUCCGUUUCUCCUCUCUCUUCCGCCUCUCUCCUUCCAGUCUCUUUUCUCUCCACCUUCCUUCUCCUCUCCUUAUCCUCAAGCUGGCUUUACAAGUUUUCACCUUCUGUUCUUAGACCCCUAAAUGUGCAAGAGUGUCUCCCUCAUUCGCUUUCCUCCCCCUGGUUGCCGUACCCAGAGCCGGGACCCCUGCCUUCUCGGAAACAGGCUUGGGAGAGCUAAGCCCCGGGGAUUAGGCUCAGGCCUCCCAGGGGCACGUGGGGGGCAGGGCUGGGCUGUGAGGAGGACUUGGCGCAUGAGAGCAGAGCGAUGGCAGAGACAAAUGGAGCGCAGUAUUG
rnacentral:lncRNA from 1 species